rnacentral:rRNA from 1 species
UACGUAGGGGCCUAGCGUUGUCCGGAUUUAUUGGGCGUAAAGAGCUCGUAGGCGGUUUGGUUAGUCAGGUGUGAAAUCUCCACGCUCAACGUGGAGGAGCCACCUGAUACUGCCAUGACUUGAGUCCGGUAGGGGAGUGGUGGAAUUCCCGGUGUAGCGGUGAAAUGCGCAGAUAUCGGGAGGAACACCCGUACGCGGAAGGCGGAG